rnacentral:rRNA from 1 species
CAGCGUAGGGUGCGAGCGUUUGUCCGGAAUUAUUGGGCGUAAAGAGCUCGGUAGGCGGUGUGUCGCCGUCGGCCGUGAAAACCUGCAGCGUUAACGUGUGGGCGUGCGGUCGAUACGGGCGAUCACUGGAGUUCGGCAGGGGAGACUGGAAUUCCUGGUGUAGCGGUGGAAAUGACGGCAGAUAUCAGGAGGAACACCGGUGGCGAAGGCGGGUCUCGUGGGCCGAUGACUGACGCUGAGGAGCGAAAGCGUGGGGAGCGAACAGG